AUUGAACGCUGGCGGCAGGCCUAACACAUGCAAGUCGAGCGCGCGGCGGACGGGUGAGUAAUGUCUGGGAAACUGCCUGAUGGAGGGGGAUAACUACUGGAAACGGUAGCUAAUACCGCAUACCAUCGGAUGUGCCCAGAUGGGAUUAGCUCGUAGGUGGGGUAACGGCUAACCUAGGCGACGAUCCCUAGCUGGUCUGAGAGGAUGACCAGCCACACUGGAACUGAGACACGGGCCAGACUCCUCCGGGAGGCAGCAGUGGGGAAUAUGGCACAAUGGGCGCAAGCCUGAUGCAGCCAUGCCGCGUGUAUGAAGAAGGCCUUCGGGUUGUAAAGUACUUUCAGCGGGGAGGCGUUACCCGCAGAAGAAGCACCGGCUAACUCCGUGCCAGCAGCCGCGGUAAUUC
rnacentral:rRNA from 1 species